rnacentral:lncRNA from 1 species
GGGGAGGGAAGGGAGACCCCCAAGAAGGAGGGCUGAGGGGACCCCCUGGGUGUGGGGGGCGGACUGAGAGGGGGGGGCGGAGGGAGACCCCCAAGAAGGAGGGCUGAGGGGACCCCCUGGGUGUGGGGGGCGGACUGAGAGGGGGGAGCGGAGGGAAAGGGCCCCUCGCUCAGAAACCCCCCAAGUCUGAAUGGGACACGACUCAGUCCAGGAAGGAGAGGGAAGAAGGGGCAGAAAUGGAGUUCAGCAUUGGAGCACCAUGUCUAGAAAGCGGAACAUCGGCCUGAGAAGGGACUUCUGCGUUUAAUGCCCUGACCGCCUCCAAGUUGAGGCAAGAAGUUGACUUCUGCCUGAAAGUACCUGAAACUGUUCUUAACCUGAGGUACCACUUUAGCUAAUGGGGCCUCCCGCUGCUGCCGCACGAUUUCUGUUCUUAUCCUGAAGCAAAGUUCUUAACUUGAAGUAAUAUUUCUGGGUUAGCAGAGUCUGUAACCUGAAGCGUCUGUAACCCGAGGUACCACUGUAUUACUAUUCUCCUCCUUGGGCCUCUGAGAAAGAGAGGGCCUUUCCCUCCUGGCCCCCUUCGCAGAUCCCGGCGGAUCCCCCAAGGCCGCUUGCCUGGCGUCUCCCAACGCAGAGGCUUCCUCCGUGGGGCAACAUGGCGAGGAGAGAGGCUGCCCUGCGGAGGCCAAGCCAUCAUGGCAGGAAGGCGGCUGAGGACCAAAGGUGCCGCCCUCCUUCAUCCGGGAGGAGAGACCCCGAGAGCGUGGGACCCCCGAGGCCCACAGGGGAGCCAUGGCGUCUCUGGGAGCGGCUGGGGCACCGGGAAAAACAAAAUGGCGUUCCCACCUUUUUUGGAAAAACACCAUCUCUUGGCCCUGCUGCCUCCAUGCGCUCCUCCUGGGCCUGCCUGGCAAUGGGGGUGGGAAUCCAGCUGCCCCCAAACAAUGAGGGAGAAGAGAAACAGGAAGAGAAGGAAGGAGAAAUGAAGGAGAAGCUGGGAGGGGAGCAUCCAAGAGGGAAACUCAGGGGGAAAACUCCCUCAGGAAACCGGGCGAAGGAGAGGAGGAGGCCCAGGGGAAUCUGAAAGGGGAUUGGCCAGCUGUCCAAUGCAGAGGCCUCUGAUUGGUCCAUCCCUGCUCUGGGGUGGGAAAUGGGGUCAGAUAGUUCUGGGAUCCCAGUAGAAACUGGUUUUCUGGCAGGAAACAUGGAAAGGAUGGCAGGUGUCACUCUUCCUUUGAACUGGAGUCCGGAGUCAGCUCUGUCAGACUUCUUUCUGGAAUAAGAAACGCCCUCCUUUCCUGCUGGGUCUCAAACAGGGGCAAGUCAAGCUCAACGCCACCUCCAACCCCCUCCCCACUUUAAAAGCACCAUUUUGAGAAGCAGCAACUCUCAAAUACGAAGAAAUCAGCACCUCCACCUGCUAACAUUUCCCCCCCCCCCGCUUGGUUUUCAGGGAGGGCUUUUCUUAGCCCCUAAUCCCCCAAUUCAAAAUAGGGGCAGGCUGGCUGGAGACCUUUCCUCCAACCCCCUUACCAUUAUUUAAUGGCAUCCCGUUUAUAUGUAUUCCCCUUGUCCCAAAAGAGCCUCAGCUUCAGGGGUGUCUUCUGAAUGAGCUGCCAGGAGAAGGCACCUCAGCCUGCCUCUCCAGUGGCAGAAGGUUCCCUAGGACACUCCAGGCUCAACGUGGGUCAAACGCUGAGGAAAACUUCUUGGAGCAACUUUUGGGAAAAGGGGAAUACAUAUAACCGGGAUGCCAUUAAAUAACAGUAAGGGGGUUGGGAAAUGGGAGUGCCUGAUCACCUCAUCUGUCUCCUGAGAAAUCUCUAUGUGGGACAUGAAGCUACAGUUAGAACUGGAUAUGGAACAAGUGAUUGGUUCAAAAUUGGGAAAGGAGUAUGGCAAGGCUGUAUUUUGUCUCCCUGCUUAUUUAACUUAUAUGCAGAAUUCAUCAUGCGAAAAGCUGGGCUGGAUGAAUCCCUAGCCGGAAUUAAGAUCACCGGAAGAAAUAUCAACAACCUCAGAUACACAGAUAACACAACCUUGAUGGCAGAAAGUGAGGAGGAAUUAAAGAACCUUUUAAUGAGGGUGAAAGAGGAGAGCGCAAAAUAUGGUCUGAAGCUCAACUUCAAAAAAACGAAGAUCAUGGCCACUGGUCCCAUCACCUCCUGGCAAAUAGAAGGCGAAGAAAUGGAGGCAGUGAGAGAUUUUACUUUCUUGGGCUGCAUGGAUCACUGCGGAUGGUGACAGCAAAAUAGAGCCCAUAAUCCCAGGAUCUCUGAAAUGAACAAAUAAAUGCACAGGAUGGUCCAGAUUGAACUCUUCCACGGAUAAAUGUUUGCCACGUCCAAAAUGGAAAGCAAGAGCAGAGCAGGGUCCUCAAAACAGCCGCAGGGGUUUGGGAUCUACGCAUUCAGCUGCCCAAGGCACUUGCGAAGACCUAGAUCUGGGCUCCUUGGGGCAAAUGGGGGCAGGGAGGGCAGGCUCUAAGCGCAGCUGCAGAUCUGCCGGCAGGCAGAGGGAAGGGCAGACUCAGUGCGCUUGGUUUUGCAAGGGUUAAAAGGAGCAGAGCUGGAUUCCUAGAGAGGACGGGAAGUGAAGGGGGUGAAGGUCCUCCAUGGCUAAAUUCCCUCCCUCCCCCAUCCCUUCCUGCAGGCAGAGAGGAGGCUGCUUUCUUCUCUCUCCUUUGCAAAAGCCCCUUCUGGAAUCCGGUGAGUCCCCUAUUUCCUCCCUCUGAGGGUGCAAUGGGGAGAAGGGGGUCCCAGGGGGGCAGGGAGGGGGCAUGGGGGUCCCUUCUCAGAUCAUACAUAGUGGGGGCAGACCCCCAAGUCAGGGAGCAGAGGGUCCUCCUUUGUCCUCUCUGCCAAGUUCUUCCUUGGGAUCCAGAUGCUGCCUUCAUUUUUGGGAGGGGGCUUGGGGUCAAGGAAAACUGGGCAGGUAAAGAAACCCCCUUCAGAUUUAGGGAUUAUUAUGAUGUGGAAUGGGACGCGGGUGGCGCUGUGGGUUAAACCACAGACUUGCCGAUCAGAAGGUCGGCGGUUCAAAUCCCCGCGACGGGGGGGGGGGGGGAGCUCCCGUUGCUCUGUCCCUGCUCCUGCCCACCUAGCAGUUCAAAAGUGUGUCAAAGUGCAAGUAGAUAAAUUGGUACCACUCCGGCGGGAAGGUAACCGGCGUUUCCGUGUGCUGCUCUGGUUCGCCAGAAGUGGCUUAGUCAUGCUGGCCACAUUUAUACAAGGAUUAAGACCCAUCAUUAAAAUACACAACAAAAUUGUUCCAUUAAGAUACUGAAAUAAGCAUGCAAGAAAAGAAUAGUAUUAAAACAAUGCAGCUAUUAAGAGGCAGAAAAGAACAGAGCAAUGUGUAGAAAAAUAUCAUCUUUCUUCUCCCUUUUUCUCUUAGGGUCCAGUGUGCUUUGAAGACGUAGCUGUUCCUUUCACAGAGGAGGACUGGGCUUUGCUGGAUCCUGACCAGAGAGCUCUGCAGAAGGAAGUCAAGGAGGAGAAUCCUGGGAUCGUGGCCUCUCUGGUAAGGCUCCCUGCUGGAUCAUAAGAUCAGUUUUGAAAUUCCAUACAGAUCUCUGAAGGACAAACCUCCUCUAUUUUGAGGGAGCCCCAUAGCGCCACC